AAAGCGCUUCCUCCUUUUUCAGAAGCAUAAAGAAAUGUAUACAGUACAUUAUUUAAAAGUACUGUUUUGAACCUAUUCCAAGGCUAUACUACUUAGUAUUUACUUUUCAAAAAUUGACUAUACUGUACAUUACUUUUAGCUUUUAACUUUUAACUCAAGCGAACUCUUAUAGACCACAGGAGGAUUAUAAAGCCAUCUGCCCACUUACAUUGCUGAUGUGGAGAAGCACAGUGGAACUGGUACCUGCAGACGGCACCAGAUGAUGAUCAACAAAAUUCUAAGAUUACCACCCAUUACCAGCACGUUCCAGUUAUCCGAUAGGACAUCUAAAGAUCUACUCUAACCUUCAUCUUCCAAUCCAUCCGUCACAAAGGACUUCUGGAGAUCUGUUAAUGUUCUGCUCUUUGGAUGCUUCUCCCUAUUCAAGGAUGUCCUUCUAGAAACUACAUCAUCUCUGCUGCACCGAAACCUGUUCCUUGAUCCAUUAUCGGACCCCUGCAUCGUAGACCUUAAACUUCAGUUUCAGGUCAUGUAUUCCAUACAUUUUAAAGCACAUACAAAUGUUGCACUAAUCUGAAUUGCUCUUUCUGCUUGUAGCUGCCUGUCAAGGUGUUUUGCUGCAGUUCGUGUGCACCUUGAACUUCAGUCUCGGGUGAUGUAUUUCAUGCAUUUGGAGUGUGUAGAGUGUCGUGCGGGUUGCGUUUGCCCUUUUCUGCUCUUUCUGGCUGCCUGACAGGGUCCUUCUGCAAUUCGGGGGGGGGGUUCUAUCUUUUGUAAACAAAGUAAAUCUAAAAAAUUAAGGGAAGGAGAACUGUUCACAUUGUUCGCCCUAUUUUUUUUUUUUGUCCACACGCUUCCAUGCUGAGAUAUCUGGCCUCCAGACCCCGAUCCGCAGCUCAGGACCCGUUGUUUCUAACUGCGCAGAAUCCGACCGUCUCCUGGUCCUGGUUUCUGCAAGACAGAGAGCUCCAAAAAGGCGACCUUUCUUCCUUGAACUAUUUUUGCCAACCACAGCUGCUCACCAAAAUAUUCUUGCGCAUGUCAUAAAAAAGCUUAGUCGGUGGUCUUCAUAGGCUUAUGAGAGCUACAUAAGGAAAAAUCUUAAAGAUAUUCUCGUUGCCCAGCAACAUCUGGAAUCAACAUCCUAAAGAAGGGGGGGGAGUUAACUAUUUAUUUUUUAAAUAUUUUUCACAUUCAACAAAAUGUGUAACGUGGUGCAGGCCAUAUCUGAGCAAAAAGGGAUUCUCCUAAUCUCUCAGCCUCUCUAUUCCUUUGGGGGGAGUAUACGAUGCUCCUCUGCCUAAUAUUUUUGGUUCACCAGGAUGAACAUGUCGCAUAGAUUUAUUAUUUUAUUGUUCAUUUUUUAGCAGGCGGCAAUGGGAUGCUCCAAGGGAUGAGGCUGUGCUCCAAUUAUUUUUAUUUUUAUUCACCCAUAGUUAAUGCAAGACUUUUCUGACUGAAAAGCGAGUCUAACAUAAAAAAAUUAAAUAAAAUAUGUGUAGGAUGUGCCCUAAAGCUUGGAGAUCGCUGGUUCAAAAAUAAGCUAUGCCGACCAUGGAUGGGAGUUCCCAGGGGGCGGCGCACAAUUCGUCAAGUGCUGCCCUGAUGGGCUAGGGGUUAGGUUGGCAGGGGAGUCCUUGGCUCACCGCACACUAGAGAGUGACAUGAAGACAGGACUCCCACGGGACUCGCAGGAUUCCCAGGGUAAAAAAAUGACACACAUAGCUUUGUGUGGUGUGGUGAGUUGAUUAUUUUUGGUUUUUGUUUGUUUGUUUUUUUACUUUCUUUUAGGUCCAAGUCAUACAAAGAAACCAAAAGUCUGUGUCGGAGCAAGAAAAGGAGACAGACAGUUUCUUUGCUGCCUGCAUUGACAGUUCAUCAAAAGGAUGGGACAGGAACAUUUUUGAUGGGACAGGACUCAAGUUUCAAUUCCGUGUCACUCUCUACCGCACACCAAUGACUCCUGUGGCUGACUGGGCGCCUGCAGGCCAGCCUGUAUGCAACUCACAACUGUGUAGUCCUCCGACACUGUAAUUUCAGGAGUGAAAAAAGGACAUGAGUGCUCGUCUUCAUCUCCUCAGGGUUAGUUCGGGUGUUGCAGCGGUGAGCCAAGUUGCAUAAUAAUUGGACAUUCCAAAAUUGGGAGAAAAUUAGAAAAUUAAUAAAAAUAAUUGUAAGAAAAAAGUCAAAUGGGUGUGAAUACUGUAUUUUCUUCAUUCAUGUGCAUCCUAUUGCAAGGUUACAAUUUUACUACCUAAGAAUGCGUUCAAUUAAAGAAUGAUGUCAGUGUCUUGCGGACAGGCAGAAAUCAAACUGAUGUAGUGUAACAGACACCACUGGAUAAGUGGUCGAUACAAAGAUUUUUAUUUAUUGAUUUACCAAAGAUCAAAUAAAACUGAAAGCUGUGAAAAAUGAC